UUGCGCAGAUGGUCUGCAAGGUCUCUCACUAGGAACAGGAGGUACGAUCUUGAUCUUGAUUCCGAGUCCGAUGAGUUUGAAGAGUAUGAAGCUGGAUAUGGAGGAAGAUAAUCAUGAGGUUGGAUAUAAGCUUCGGAACCUACUGCGGAAUUUUAGAUCAGAGCCCUGAAGACAACCGCCUGCGACGUCGCCCCGGAAUAUCCCUUUCACUCUCCGACACGGAAGCAGAAUCCGAGCUAGAGUACCACCCAAAGUUAUUUUAAUUUGUAAAAAUAAUUAUAUAAUUCUUCCCUAAUUUUUUAC